CUAAUACCGAAUAAUGCAGCGGCACCUAAUGGUGACAGUUGUUAAAGCGGGGGGAUCGAAAGACCUCGCGUCUGAAGAGGAGCCUGCGGCAGAUUAGCUAGGUUGGUAAGGUAACGGCUUACCAAGGCGAUGAUCUGUAGCCGGCCUGAGAGGGCGGUCGGCCACACUGACACUGACAUACGGGUCAGACUCCUACGGGAGGCANUCAGUCGGGAAUUUUGGGCAAUGGGCGAAAGCCUGACCCAGCAACGCCGCGUGAAGGAUGAAAUCCUUCGGGAUGUAAACUUCGCAAGAACGGGAAGAAUAAGUAAGGGUUAAUAUCUCUUACGAUGACGGUACUGUUUGUAAGCUCCGGCUAACUCC
rnacentral:rRNA from 1 species